rnacentral:rRNA from 1 species
GAUGAACGCUGGCGGCGUGCCUAAUACAUGCAAGUCGAGCGAACAGACGAGGAUCUUGCCCCUGUGACGUUAGCCGCGGACGUGUGAGUGACACGUGGAUUACCGACCGGUUAACCUGGGUUAACCUCGGGAAACCGGAGCUGAUACCGGUGAAUAUAUUGAACAACAGGAUUCAAUAGUGAAAUACGGUUUUGAUAUCACUGGUAGAUUGAUCCGCACCGCAUUAGAUAGAUGGUAAGGGAACGGCUUACGCCGGCAAAGUCGCGUAGCCGUAAUGAGAGGGUGGUCGGCCACCCGGGAAGUGAGACACGGUCCAGACUCCGAGGGGAGGCAGCAGUAGAGAAUCUUACGCGAUGGGGGAAAGCCGGACGGAGCAACGCCGCGUGAGUGAUGAUGGUCUGCGGAUCGUAAAAGGCAGUUGUUUGGGAAGAACAAAUGUGUAAGUAACUAUGCACGUCUUGACGGUACCUAAUCAGAAAGCCACGGCUAACUACGUG